UAGCUGGGCUUGGGGCGGGGCCGAGACGGAGCGAGGGGUCCAGGGUGUGGGAAACGGGGAGGGGUUUGAGGAGGGGAUCGGAAUGUGGCUCAAGUUCGGGAGGCGUUACCUGCGGAGGGUUUGAGGCAGGCCCAGGAGCGAGCCCAUGGUCUUCCGACGCGGGGCCAGGGGCGGGGCCCAGGAUCCGGAGCUUCGUGCGGGGCCGAGUCCAGGUUUGGGGCCCGGGAGGCGGGGCCAGUUAGGGCGAGGGUCCCUGGGAUCGUCGGGUCAGGCCUUGGGCUAACGUAGGCACUCUCGCAGUUCCUCCGCCUUCAGGAAGGUCUUUUCAGCAGGGGCCUUACGGGUGCAUGCUUCGGUCCUGGAGGCCUUAUCCUAGCCUCCUCUCCAUCAGCGCCACCCGUCUGGGGCCCGAAAGGAGGGAGCUUUCCCUCUGUCCCCCAGCCUUUGGACUGUCACUAAACAAGCCAUUCGUUCAUCAAAUACUUUUUAAGCGCCUACCAUGUGCCUGACAAGGGAGAUGUAACGGUGAGAAAAACUAGGUGUGGUCCAGGCCCUUCAGGGGCUCAGGUGCUCGUGGAAGAAGUGGACAUUGAAGUACUUAUCACACAAAUGAGGAUAAAAGUACGAUAACGAUAUCUACCACGAAGCUGUUGUUCCCCACCAGAACCAAAUGAGCGCAAGAUCUGACAAAGAAAAAAAAAGGUUCAUCUUUUAUUCCUCCAAACACUUUCAUUUAAAUCAAGAGGAUGGGAUGUGGUUAUUGCUGUGUUUUUAGACAGAAUCAACGGUUUCUGGGUCUGAGAUGUUGCAUACACCUUCUCAGUCCCUGUAUCCUGAGAUGGAGUCACCUGAGAAUCCACAGCAAGUCCUAACCAGGGAUGGGUCUGGGUGAUUAAGGAAGGUUGGCUUCAGAACUGGGCCAGGGGCACUGCUUUGCUUUUGCUGUUUUGAUCAGCUCUCUGCCUGAAGGAGACAAGAAAAACCAACGGGAACAGCUGGGGAAACUGAGUUACAGAGCUUGUCUGCACUGAGUCAUCAGGAGCAAAUGCUAGAUCAGAUAGGGUCUCUCUCUCUGCCACCCAGGCCAGAGUGCAGUUGACGCAGGGCAGGGGAGCCCCGAAGUGGAGCAUAGUGUGUCCGGAACUGGUGGGUUCUUGGUCUCACUGACUUCAAGAAAGAAGCCGCGGACCCUCGCGAGACGGGGUCUUGCUCUGUUGCUCAAGCUGGA
rnacentral:lncRNA from 1 species